UAUUUCCCUAAAGUUUGAAUGGUUUUGGGAUGUUUUUGGAGUAAAAAUGUUCAUGGAAAUUUUUGGGUUUUUCAUGAAUGUUCUUCAUUGUUCUUGACAUUUUUGCCAAGAACAAAAAGGUUUUGUGUUUUGAUUCAAAGUUUUGAUUUAUUUCAUAAAGUUUAUGUUUUAUGUUUUUCAAAUAUUUAAAUGUGUUAGAUAUUUUUGUUUAAAUGGUGAUAGAAAUAAUGGUGGGUGUGAGAGGAUUAAUUCCCUUUCACACACACCACUUGCACCACUUGCACCACUUGCAUGCUUUAUGUCAAAACUCACAAAUCAACACACACAUCACUCCUUUCCCUCUCCAAAACCGGCCACCCUACAUGU
rnacentral:lncRNA from 1 species